UGGACAUAUUAUUGUGUUCAACUGUAUUCGACUCUAUUCACGGCGUGAAAUAGGGGAUUAAACUAUUUUUAUAACGGAAAGUGAAUCAAUUAACAUAAUAGACUCCU
rnacentral:pre_miRNA from 1 species